rnacentral:lncRNA from 1 species
GGAGUCGCACCGCCUCCGGGGACCGCACCCCGCAUGCAGCCUCCAGCCCCUGCCUCUUGCUGCUCGAGGGCACACGACCCAGGCCGGACGUUGUGGCUGAAGCCUGUAAUCCCAGCGGUUUAAGAGGCCAAGGCCUAAGCCCAGGUGUUGGAGACCAGCCUGAGCAACACAGCGCAAUGUGUCAUUUAGGCCUGUGACGUCGGAACUUUAUUAUUUGAACAUUUAAAAAUAAAUGAAUCCAAGAGCUUGAGUCACUUGGCCAAAAAUGCCCAGGAGGAAAAGGCCAAGUCAGGUACCCCGGCUCUAGAGCUACUAACUGAUCGCCGGAGACCCUGGGCCUUGGAAGAAGUCGCCUCCCCAGAUCUCUAAGCAGGCCGCGCGACCCUCGAGUCUCAGGUAAGCGGGAAAUCCCACUUCACAAGAAAGCCCCUCUCUCCGAGGCACGGG